GCAUAUCAAUAAGCGGAGGAAAAGAAACCAACCGGGAUUGCCUUAGUAACGGCGAGUGAAGCGGCAAAAGCUCAAAUUUGAAAUCUGGCGCCUUCGGCGUCCGAGUUGUAAUUUGAAGAAAGUACCUUGGUUGCUAGUCCCUGUCUAUGUUCCUUGGAACAGGACGUCAUAGAGGGUGAGAAUCCCGUCUGGCGGGGGUGCUAGUGCCAUCUAAGGUUCUUUCGACGAGUCGAGUUGUUUGGGAAUGCAGCUCUAAGUGGGUGGUAAAUUCCAUCUAAAGCUAAAUAUUGGCGAGAGACCGAUAGCGAACAAGUACAGUGAUGGAAAGAUGAAAAGAACUUUGAAAAGAGAGUGAAAAAGUACGUGAAAUUGUUGAAAGGGAAGGGCAUUUGAUCAGACAUGGUGUUUUGCGGCCCUCGCUCCUUGUGGGUGGGGUCACCGCAGUUCACUGGGCCAGCAUCAGUUUUGGUGGCAGCAGAAACCCUUAGGAAUGUGACUUUCUCUUCGGAGGAAGUGUUAUAGCCUAAGGUUAUACUGCCAACCGGGACUGAGGACUGCGGCUUCGGCCAAGGAUGCUGGCAUAAUGGUUAAAUGCCGCCCGUCUUGAAACACGGACCAAGGAGUCUAACGUCUAUGCGAGUGUUUGGGUGUAAAACCCGUACGCGUAAUGAAAGUGAACGUAGGUGAGGGCCUCUUUAGAGGUGCAUCAUCGACCGAUCCUGAUGUCUUCGGAUGGAUUUGAGUAAGAGCAUAGCUGUUGGGACCCGAAAGAUGGUGAACUAUGCCUGAAUAGGGUGAAGCCAGAGGAAACUCUGGUGGAGGCUCGUAGCGGUUCUGACGUGCAAAUCGAUCGUCGAAUUUGGGUAUAGGGGCGAAAGACUAAUCGAACCAUCUAGUAGCUG
rnacentral:rRNA from 1 species